rnacentral:rRNA from 1 species
GUCUCCCUUGUUAUUANNUGCAGUCGACGAUGAAGCCCUUCGGGGUGGAUUAGUGGCGAACGGGUGAGUAACACGUGGGCAAUCUGCCCUUCACUCUGGGACAAGCCCUGGAAACGGGGUCUAAUACCGGAUACCACUCCUGCCUGCAUGGGCGGGGGUUGAAAGCUCCGGCGGUGAAGGAUGAGCCCGCGGCCUAUCAGCUUGUUGGUGGGGUAAUGGCCCACCAAGGCGACGACGGGUAGCCGGCCUGAGAGGGCGACCGGCCACACUGGGACUGAGACACGGCCCAGACUCCUACGGGAGGCAGCAGUGGGGAAUAUUGCACAAUGGGCGAAAGCCUGAUGCAGCGACGCCGCGUGAGGGAUGACGGCCUUCGGGUUGUAAACCUCUUUCAGCAGGGAAGAGCGAAAGUGACGGUACCUGCAGAAGAAGCGCCGGCUAACUACGUGCCAGCAGCCGCGGUAAUACGUAGGGCGCAAGCGUUGUCCGGAAUUAUUGGGCGUAAAGAGCUCGUANGCGGCUUGUCACGUCGGAUGUGAAAGCCCGAGGCUUAACCUCGGGUCUGCAUUCGAUACGGGCUAUCUAGA